rnacentral:rRNA from 1 species
UCCGGAGGGUGCAAUCGUUGUUCGGAAUUACUGGGCGUAAAGCGCGUGUAGGCGGUUCGGUAAGUCGGUUGUGAAAGCCCCGAGCUCAACUCGGGAAUUGCGUCCGAAACUGCCGGACUGGAGUCCCGGAGAGGAAGGCAGAAUUCCCAAUGUAGGGGUGAAAUCCGUAGAUAUUGGGAGGAAUACCGGCUGCGAAGGCGGCCUUCUGGACGGUGACUGACGCUGAGACGCGAAAGCGUGGGGAGCAAACAGG